ensembl:lncRNA
CAACAGAGACACAGAGAAACAGAGACAUGAUAGAAACACAGAGGCUCUCUUCUCUGUGUUUAUGGGGAGUUCCAAAACACAGAUCUACAGAGGAGACUUGUCUGGUUUUUGUCCCCGAGAUGAGGACACAUCCCAUCAAGUAUGGUCAGAAGAUGUGUUGGAUCAGACUCUCUGACAGUGUGUUCUGGUCCCCACCGCUCUGGAACUGAAUCAGAACCUCUGCAGAUAGCACCCUGGGAGCUCCAAAACCUGCAGGAGACUGAACUUCCACUACUGAGCUGCACUCCCCUUACCCCAACUGCCGGAUCACUAAGAACCAGAGGAAGAGGAGAUGGAGUCUGUACAGAGACUCUCAAAGACA